GACGUAGGAGGCGAGCGUUGUCCGGAUUCAUUGGGCGUAAAGAGCGCGCAGGCGUCGUGCAAGUCGCGUGUGAAAGCCCCCGGCUCAACUGGGGAGGGUCACGCGAUACUGCUCGACUCGAAGGCAGGAGAGGGAAGUGGAAUUCCCGGUGUAGUGGUGAAAUGCGCAGAUAUCAGGAGGAACACCGGUGGCGAAGGCGGUUCUCUGGCAUGUCCUGACGCUGAGGAGCGAAAGUGUGGGAGCGAACAGG
rnacentral:rRNA from 1 species